rnacentral:tRNA from 1 species
GCCUUCGUAGCUCAGCUGGACAGAGCAGCCGCCUCCUAAGCGGCAGGUCAGAGGUUCGAAUCUUCUCGAGGGCACCA